GACAGAGGGUGCAAGCGUUGUUCGGAAUUACUGGGCGUAAAGGGCGUGUAGGUGGUGGGGUGUGUCCGAUGUGAAAGCCCCCGGCUUAACCGGGGAAUGGCAUUGGAAACUACCUCGCUUGAGUGUGAGAGAGGGUGAUGGAAUUCCCAGUGUAGAGGUGAAAUUCGUAGAUACUGGGAGGAACACCGGAGGCGAAGGCGGUCACCUGGCUCAUUACUGACGCUGAGACGCGAAAGCGUGGGGAG
rnacentral:rRNA from 1 species